rfam:Beta vulgaris subsp. vulgaris chromosome 4, whole genome shotgun sequence.
AACCUAUUAGCUCAAUUGGAAGAGCAUGCACUAUGCGCAAGAUGUAGGUUCGAUUCCCACAUAGGUUA